rnacentral:rRNA from 1 species
GGCGAACGGGUGAGUAAUAUAUCGGAACGUGCCUAGUAGUGGGGAACAACCAUCCGAAAGGAUGGCUAAUACCGCAUACGACCUACGGGUGAAAGCAGGGGAUCUUCGGACCUUGCGCUAUUAGAGCGGCCGAUAUCUGAUUAGGUAGUUGGUGGGGUAAAGGCCUACCAAGCCGACGAUCAGUAGCUGGUCUGAGAGGACGAUCAGCCACACUGGAACUGAGACACGGUCCAGACUCCUACGGGAGGCAGCAGUGGGGAAUUUUGGACAAUGGGGGAAACCCUGAUCCAGCCAUUCCGCGUGAGUGAAGAAGGCCUUCGGGUUGUAAAGCUCUUUCGUGAGGGAAGAAAUUUUAUUGUCGAAUAAACAGUAAAGAUGACGGUACCUUAAGAAGAAGCACCGGCUAACUACGUGCCAGUAGCCGCGGUAAUACGUAGGGUGCGAGCGUUAAUCGGAAUUACUGGGCGUAAAGCGUGC